UUUGUGCAGAACUUUUGGAGCAGCUUAACCGAAGGUUCGAAGCCACAUUGAAGGACAGUUUUCUAAUAGCUGCUUGCAUCCUCAAUCCAAGAAUAAAGCUCAGAAUCUUCGAGUCACACAUCGCGAAGGGAUUAUCGAAGCCAAGUACUUCGGAGGCAGUCAAGGUUGUGGAACAUCUACUCGACGGAGUCGAUAGGGCUCCAUAUUCUUUCACGGCUACCAGCGUAACUUCAGCACCAACAACUUCUACGCCUGAUGCUAAAGUGGACAUAUCUAAAGUUGUCGGUCUGUCGGGCGUGCUGGAUGCGGUAUACCCACUCCAGGAGGCUCGGCAGUUGUCUGAACUGGAACGUUACCUCAGCGCGGAAUACGACGCUCAGGAUGUGCUCUCUUUCUGGAGGAAUAAUUUUCACCAGUACCCCAAACUGGGACGUCUUGCCCAAGUAUGCCUCGGGAAACAGGCCACUUCGGGAGCAGUGGAGCGCCUCUUCUCUGUGGCAGGCGCUCUUCAAAGAGCAAGGCGAGCGCCUCUCGUGCCAAGCACCAUAGAGAACUGAAUCCUUGUGUCUGAGCACGUCAGGAAACACAAAAAUUAACUUUCAAAAAACGGACAAGGAGCUUGAACUUUUUGGAUAAAACGUACUGUCCCACU